AAGUCGUAACAAGGUUUCCGUAGGUGAACCUGCGGAAGGAUCAUUAACGAAUAACUAUGGUGUCUUGGCUGUCGCUGGCUCCUCGGAGCAUUGUGCACGCCCGCCAUUUUUAUCUAUCCACCUGUGCACCGAAUGUAGGUCUGGAUGACUCUCGUCUCCGGGCGGAUGCGAGGUUUGCGUGUGCGUAGCGUGUUCGCGUUCGCGCGUUCGCGCGUUUGUGCGCGUUGCGUACGGGCUCACCUCGAAUUUCCAGACUCUACGUCUUUUUACACACCCCAAACGUAUGAUGCAGAAUGUAGUCAAUGGGCCUUUAAAAGCCUAUAAAACACUAUACAACUUUCAGCAACGGAUCUCUUGGCUCUC
rnacentral:misc_RNA from 1 species